rnacentral:rRNA from 1 species
AUUGAACGCUGGCGGCAGGCCUAAUACAUGCAAGUCGAACGAGUGGCGGACGGGUGAGUAAUGUCUGGGAAACUGCCCGAUGGAGGGGGAUAACUACUGGAAAAGGUAGCUAAUACCGCAUACCAUCGGAUGUGCCAAGUUGGGAUUCGCUAGUAGGUGGGGUAAAGGCUCACCUAGGCGACGAACCCUAGCUGGUCUGAGAGGAUGACCAGCCACACUGGAACUGAGACACGGUCCAGACUCCUACGGGAGGCAGCAGUGGGGAAUAUUGCACAAUGGGCUCAAGCCUGAUGCAGCCAUGCCGCGUGUAUGAAGAAGGCCUUCGGGUUGUAAAAUACUUUCAGUGGGGAGGCGUUACCCGCAGAAAAAGCACCGGCUAACUCCGUGCCAGCCGCCGCGGUAAUAC